rnacentral:pre_miRNA from 1 species
AUGCCCGUUGGGUUUUACUCUGAUGUUGAAUUAAUUAUUAUUUAAUUACUUUUGGGUAACGGGGU